rnacentral:lncRNA from 1 species
GCGAUAGGCGUCUCAGACUUGAAGACGCCUCUCCAGCAGAACUCCCUCAUUGGUCGGCAAGAGAAAACAAAGCUGGGCUCUGAUUGGUGACAGCUCUGUAGCUCCUCCUCAUACCCGCAGUCCCCGCAAGUUCCACCCCUGCCCGCCCGGUUCGCUCGCCCUUGGUUCCCACUCCCAGGUGGCUGCAGACUGGAGUGUGUUUCAUGGACGAGCAACCUCCCUGAGGAGAACCCCGGAUACGCAGGUUCAUUCGCCAGAUGCGAGUUUUCUUAAGCCGCUGCGAUUCUCUGAUUUCAGUAUGAACUUGGUGAAUAACGUAAUCUUUAACUUCCUUUGGAUUCAGACAAGUCUCCUAGGUUUAAAAAUGCUGCAUAAGAUUGAGAGGGAUAUUGUUAUGCACGAAAAAAGACAUAAGGUGUUUUCACCUUUGGCGACACUAGUCACCAGUAAAAUGAGCAUUCAUUCAUUAAGCCAAUCAUCAGGAAUGGAUCUAGGAAGAACCUACUGUUUACUAGAAAUAGGUUAGAUCUGUGGAUAUAACAAUGAAUAAGACAAGACUGGUGGAUCUAUAGAGAAACUAUUACUGCACAGGUGAUGGGGAAAUCAAGAGUACUAUGGGGCCAAGGAGACUGUCCUGCAGCAAAUGAGGAAUAAGCUGAAACAUCAGUAGGAGCCAUCCCAGAGAAAAGGGACAGGGUUCUAGAUCCAGAGAACAACAGAAGAGCAUUCAGCGCCUGCAAGGGAGCAGGGGAUCUAAUGCAAAGCCAUUGCAUAACCAGUCAACUUUCCCCACAUCACAAGAUUGCCUAGCCUGGAUGGCCCCAGAAUGUUGAAACAAAUGUCUAAUUAGUAACGACAUUCUGAAUGCUUGGGAGCUGAGCAAAAUAUGAGGAGAAGCAACCUGAUUUUUGUUUCAUAUUAUCAUCUCCUUUAUUCCAGCAACAAAAGACACUGAAAAUAGUAAAUGCCCACUUUCAACCAUGACAGCCCUUUUAGGAUAGUAACGGUGAGCAGUAUUAAUCCUAUUUGACCAGAACUAGGGCAGAAUUGAAGCCCCUGGAGUAGAGAUCUGUUCUAUUAGCCCCAGCCUUUCCGCCUGCUUCUUGGGAUGGCUAUCUUUACUUUAUCAGUUGAGCCUCCAGCAUUAGCAGAUACCUAUAAGGGAAGAGAUCCAGCCCUCACUAUGGAGGGCCAGAAAGAGAAAGCACCAGACAUUAGGAAAUGUCAAAGUAUCUCAGUACAUCCAGCUGAUUAGUGACAGAUAAGUCAAAAUUUGCAGCAACUAAAUAAAUCAAAAAGUAGAUUUUAAAA